UACGGAGGAUCCGAGCGUUAUCCGGAUUUAUUGGGUUUAAAGGGUGCGUAGGCGGUUUGAUAAGUUAGAGGUGAAAUGUCGGGGCUCAACCCCGAAACUGCCUCUAAUACUGUUAGACUAGAGAAUAGUUGCGGUAGGCGGAAUGUAUGGUGUAGCGGUGAAAUGCUUAGAGAUCAUACAGAACACCGAUUGCGAAGGCAGCUUACCAAACUAUAUCUGACGUUGAGGCACGAAAGCGUGGGUAGCAAACAGG
rnacentral:rRNA from 1 species